UUUUCUCCCUUAAGACAAGAUGAUGUAGCCCUGCAGCUGCUGCCAGUUCUCCUCCCUGCUCCACCUUACUCAUUUGGGAGAAGAGUUUCAGACCCAUCAACCUGGAAGUUCAGAUGGUUUCAUUGAUAUCCAGCCUGUUGGGACAAACCUGGUGGCGCAUCUACAAAAUGUGACAACCCGUAUGUCCUCAUGCAGGGAAACAGGCAAAAAUGCUAAAGUGUCGUUAAAAAUGCUCCUUGUUUAAUGGCUGAAAGUUUUACUUGUAGUUUGCUAUAAAAUAGACUUUUUACAUGAAAUGUUUUCUAAUGUGUAGUAACAGAUACUUCUGGAGUUGUAACCAAAUGAGUUAAAGUGAUUUAACUAUAUACUUUUGAAACAACUUAUGUUUUGUAAUUU